rnacentral:rRNA from 1 species
GGACGAACGCUGGCGGCGCGCUUAACACAUGCAAGUCGAACGGAAAGGCCUGCUUUCCCUUGUGGAUUGCGGGUACUCGAGUGGCGAACGGGUGAGUAACACGUGAGUGAUCUGCCCCCAACUUGGGUAUAAGCCUGGGAAACUGGGUCUAAUUCCCGAUAGGACUGCAGGGUGGUGCCUGUGGUGGAAAACGAUUUUCUAGUGGUUGGGGAUGAGCUCGCGGCCUAUCAGCUUGUUGGUGGGGUAAUGGCCUACCAAGGCGGCGACGGGUAGCCGGCCUGAGAGGGUGGACGGCCACAUUGGGACUGAGAUACGGCCCAGACUCCUACGGGAGGCAGCAGUGGGGAAUAUUGCACAAUGGGCGGAAGCCUGAUGCAGCGACGCCGCGUGGGGGAUGACGGCCUUCGGGUUGUAAACUCCUUUCGACCGCGAGGAGGCCACCUGGUUGGAAGGGUGGUGACGGUAGUGGUAGAAGAAGCACCGGCUAACUACGUG